GGAUGGGAGAGCAGCCAUCUUAGCUCUGCUCUCCAUUUGUCUGUGAGUGUAACAAUAUGUUGAAUUUGCCAUGGGCCUUUAAAGCUUCAAUGUUGUGAAGAGCUCUGCAUGAAAUUUUAAAGAGACUGGACCUUUCAUCUGCACAACAGCAGGGCACCUCGCUAUAGGGACAAGAAAGGAAGAGAGAGAGAGAACAUUUCUGAAGUAAUAGUGAAAAAUAACAGCAGAAGCAAUUAUUUCAUCAAAGAUUGCAGGGAGAGGCUCCUCCGUGCUCCUGAGAGGCCGAACACAGGGUCGCCAGCACAGCUUACUGCUCGGUGUCUCCUGAGCCACAGAGGAAGACGUGGCAGGAGCACCUGGUGCUAAUAUAUAUUCAUGUCUAUGGCAAUGCCGACCAUCUGGCUGGUCUGAACCAGGAUAAAAGUGAAGAAUUCCUCUGUGAAGACCCAGCUCUUUCUUUGGCUCCUUUUUUGAAGCCAUCUUUGCUCUGCUCUCCUCUGCUGCCCAGAAAGUUCCAGAGUGAAGCUCAGCUCUAGAUGAACAAAAACUGGUUGAGUCCAGAGAUGCCUGAGUUGGAGAUGAACCUUGCAAACUUUCCUCAUUACCAUACUAAAAACCCCACCCAGGAAGGAGCUUAUCUGCCAUUUCCUACACAUGUGACAUAUGGAGAAGCAUGAUCAGCUACUUCACAGUCUCUGCCUUUACUCUGCCUCCGCAUACAAUGGCUCAGCCAACUAGCCUAACGAAAGCUGUUUUCACCAUUGUUUGGGAGGUACUGCUUUGGGAAACUGCC
rnacentral:lncRNA from 1 species